AGUGAACGCUGGCAGUAGGCCUAACACAUGCAAGCCGAACGGCAGCACAGUAAGAGCUUGCUCUUACGGGUGGCGAGUGGCGGACGGGUGAGGAAUACAUCGGAAUCUACUUUUUCGUGGGGGAUAACGUAGGGAAACUUACGCUAAUACCGCAUACGACCUACGGGUGAAAGCAGGGGAUCUUCGGACCUUGCGCGAUUGAAUGAGCCGAUGUCGGAUUAGCUAGUUGGCGGGGUAAAGGCCCACCAAGGCGACGAUCCGUAGCUGGUCUGAGAGGAUGAUCAGCCACACUGGAACUGAGACACGGUCCAGACUCCUACGGGAGGCAGCAGUGGGGAAUAUUGGACAAUGGGCGCAAGCCUGAUCCAGCCAUACCGCGUGGGUGAAGAAGGCCUUCGGGUUGUAAAGCCCUUUUGUUGGGAAAGAAAAGCAGCAGGUUAAUACCCCGCUGUUCUGACGGUACCCAAAGAAUAAGCACCGGCUAACUUCGUG
rnacentral:rRNA from 1 species